GCGCCAUUAGCUCAAUUGGAUAGAGUGCCUGACUACGAAUCAGUAGGUUGCGCGUUCGAGUCGCGCAUGGCGCA
rnacentral:tRNA from 2 species